AGCCACCCCCAUAUCAUCCUGCAGCCCAAGUCCGGUUAGUCACUGAAGCUGAGCAAGGCUGAGCCUGGUCAGUACCUGCAUGGGAGACCACAUGGGAAAGCUAGGUUGCUGUUGGAA
rnacentral:rRNA from 1 species